AACAACGUUAUUCAAAAUUUUGUCAAGCAUUUCGGGUUAAAGUUCAAUUCGUUGAAUCGCAGGAAAAUUAGUCCAAUUAUCAUUAUCAAAAAACCUGAUUGAAUGACGAUGAACUUUGGAUGAACGUUAAUAUCAUGAAGGUCAAAUUGGGAUUAUUACCUGCUGCAAAAAUCUUUUGGGUAUUCGAGCUGUAGAUCCAUUUUCUUGGGGACUGCUAGGAUAGCCAAAACCAAGGCCCAACAAGAUGGCUUCGGGAUCUGCUUUUCGCCACUCUAGAAGGCUCUCUACGCUACUACAAUGACUGCUAUCUGACUGAAAACUUGGAUCUCUUGCCAGUCUGCUGUGUGGAACAGAGCUAAAAAGGAGAGAAAUUAACAGUCAAACCUACAUAUUUGAUGGAGGGGUAAAAAUUCUUUUAUCCCUCACCUGACUGGGCCAGUCAUAGUAAUAGCUGGUGAGGAUGGAAUGCUGAUAGGAGCCGAGGCAGUCAUGUCUGGUUUUUUUUGGAGUUUCUGUUUGAGGAACUUCUGGCUGUUGAUCGAACGAAUUUGAAGACUGGUUUCCAAACGACGGAAUAGAGUCAACCCAUUGUUGGACCGGACCUGCUUGACGUCUCAUUUCCCAAAUUCCACGCAGCCAAUGAGUUACUCUAACUAUUGCCUCUGUCCCAAUGUUUUCUGUUUUAUUAAAGCAACAAGGGAAUUUUUGAAUCGAUAAUAUCGAGUUGACGAAGUCUUCUUUCAUGAAGAUAGAACAACUUUUUCCCUAUUUGGCACUUACGCAGCGAUCAUAUAGGAAAGUCAAGAGUUAAAUCAGCGUUGAGAAAAAGGACGUGGUACGUGUAAAAACUUUCAUUCUUCUAAUUGAAAAUAUACGAAAAUUAAACGAGAAGAAAAUCAUUUCUAGAAAUUCAUUCGCCAGCGCUGUCGUACCAGGGUCGCAUCCAGUUCGGCGGAAUUCGAUUUCUCCUGUGACUGUAAUCCACCGUUGGUCCGUAUCUGAUACCCGCUGGUUCCCGUCCGACUGCACUUCCCUUCUUUUGACGAUUUUCGUUGUCGAGCACCACGAAGGACUUGGAAGUCGGAUCCAUGCCGGACGCUCUUCCGAAACUCGGCGAAGCCACGCGAUUCGUUCGACUGCUUUUGAUUACCUCGACCGAACCCUCUGGGCUCGUCGUCGACGUUGCACACGUGCAAACGAUACGUAGGACUCGGCGAACGUUUUCUAAGGAGCGAAGGAUCCUCGACGGCCGACACAUCCGCAUGACUCGUCGAACGCUGGACGAGCGACGUACUGGAAAAAGGGAAGGACCAUCGUCAAAGAACUCUCGAUUAAUAUCUUUAGAUAAUUUAG